GACAGAGGGUGCAAACGUUGCUCGGAAUUACUGGGCGUAAAGCGCGUGUAGGCGGAUCGGAAAGUCGGGCGUGAAAUCCCCAGGCUCAACCUGGGAACUGCACCCGAAACUCCCGGUCUUGAGUGGUGGAAAGGGAAGUGGAAUUCCUGGUGUAGAGGUGAAAUUCGUAGAUAUCAGGAGGAACACCAGUGGCGAAGGCGGCUUCCUGGACACCAACUGACGCUGAGACGCGAAAGCGUGGGGAGCAAACAGG
rnacentral:rRNA from 1 species